GGCAUAUUUGAGUGGCUAAAUUCAGACACAAGUCAUGCUUCCAUCUCAGUAAAUGUAAUACAGUGGUGACAAUAAAACCUAUAAAAUUU
rnacentral:snoRNA from 1 species